GCCCUUUUAGUUUAAUGGUAAAACAGCGGUUUUGUAAUCCGCCGAUGUGCGUUCGAUUCGUACAUGGGGCACCA
rnacentral:tRNA from 1 species